GUGGCCUGGGGGCACUGGGCCCCUGGGUCCUCCAGACCACUGACAUCUCUUUAAAUGACUCAGCUCGGCCCUGGUUCUCGUCUCACCAGUGGCAUUGUCUGUGUGACGAGAACUGCUUGAGCUGUGCAGGCUCCAGCAGGAACUGUAGCAGGUGUAAGACGGGCUUCACACAGCUGGGGACCUCCUGCAUCACCAACCACACGUGCAGCAACGCUGACGAGACAUUCUGCGAGAUGGUGAAGUCCAACCGGCUGUGCGAACGGAAGCUCUUCAUUCAGUUCUGCUGCCGCACGUGCCUCCUGGCCGGGUAAGGGUGCCUAGCUGCCCACAGAGGGCAG
rnacentral:lncRNA from 1 species